AGAAAAUAUAGGCUUAGCAGGGUUAAGAUCACUCAGCUGCAUGUGCAAAAAGGAAUCCUGCAUAUUUGACACUGAAGGCAUUUGAUGCUUUUUUCCCUCUGUACAACAGUGUCCAUUGAGAUUUUUUCUCAAAUGUGGCUAACAGAACUAUCCAAAUGCUAAUUUGUGCAUCUUUAUCUGAUUACAGAUCAGGACUGACUGCAUCAGAAUGGCGGUUCAAAAUGGCUGAAUAACCUCCCUACCACAGUUGGGAAGACAAGAAAUUGUGCCCACGCAGCCAUCAAGCAGUCCAAUUAUAUUUUUUCACUUCAUUCCGCAAAAAUAAGAAAAAGAAAGAAAAAGAAAGAAAAAAAGCCAGCCAGCCUUGAGCUGUCUUGAAAACUCUUUGAAGUGUAGAUUUUGCGUUAAAGCUACAUCUUGUAGCUGUAGGAUGGGGCAGUGGGAAGAGAAAGGAGUGAGGAAGGGUACCAGAAGUUUGGCAAAAUGGGAUCAGGUGACCAUCUGUUUGACUGCAAGACACGAGAAAAAAGGCUAAGCCAUAAGAGUUAGUGACACAUGAGAGAAGAGGGGAGGAAUUGCCUGGAACAGCAACGUCCACAGGUGCUGUUUAUUUAUUCCAUCCAGUCAACCAACACAUAUUUGAUGAAUGUUGAUGAGUGCCUGUCACAACAGGAGCUGGUGAAGAUUAAAGGAAAAUGAAACAUGGCCUCUGCCCUUAAGUUAUAACCUAGUGAUGGAGAUAAACACACACAAGAAUAUAUUAUGAUUAUGUAGUCAAGGUCACACAGCUGGCUACUGGCAAGGUUAGGACUUAAAUACAGGAUAUUUUCACCAUUAGACUCUGUUCUUUAUGUGUGAGUGAUUCAUGAAAGACAUACACAUUUAGGUAUUUCUAGAACAGUAGCCCCCCCUUUAUCCGUGGAGGAUACGUUCCAAGACCCCCAAUGGAUGCCUGAAACCACAGGUAGUGCAAAAUUCUAUAUAUACUUUAUUUUUUCCUAUACAUAUAGACCUAUGAUAAAGUUUAAUUUGUGAAGUAGGCACAGUGAGAUAUUGACAACAGUAACUAAUAAUAAAAUAGAACAAUUAUAACA
rnacentral:lncRNA from 1 species